rnacentral:lncRNA from 1 species
CAAUCCUGCAAAAUAUAAAUAUUUUUAUACUUAUAUAUGUAUAAUAUGCUACGAUCUGAAUUAAUAUGCUAUGAUCCAGACAAAUCAAAAUUGUUAUAUUAAACUAUAUUUUGAUUGUGUUGGCUUGUGAUUGAUAUUAUGUUGUAUGCAUGUGCAUAACCUACACCUGUAUAAUUGGAUUUAUGGAUGUGGUGCUGUAGACUAACCUUGUUAAUAUUGGUUGCCCCGUCACGGGCUGGAAACGUGACCGGAUUAGUCUAUAGUUGUAAAUAAAAGGGAUUGAUGUGUGGAUGUGAAAUUGAUUAAAUGAACAUUGACUUUGGGCCGUCUCGUUAUUAUGGGUUUGCCCGUCACAGGCUCUAAGUGUGACAAUGUUGGUUUGCCCGUCACAGGCUCUAAGUGUGACAAUGUUGGUUUGCCCGUCACAGGCUCUAAGUGUGACAAUGUUGGUUUGCCCGUCACAGGCUCUAAGUGUGACACUAUUGGUUUGCCCUGUCACGGGCUGGAAACGUGACCGGAAUUUGGC